rnacentral:tRNA from 1 species
GGGGUUGUAGCUCAGUGGUAGAGCCCUUGCUUUGCAUGCAUGAGGCCCUGGGUUCCAUCCUCAGCGCCACA